rnacentral:lncRNA from 1 species
GAGAAUUCUUAUGCGUGGUGAAUAUACUAUCUACAGUACAGCAAUAAACACAAUAUUGAAGUGCUGUAAUUUGUUACCUGUUUCAUCGUUAACAUCAUGGUAUAGUGGUAAACAUCGUGGCCAUCUUGGGCGAAAGUUGCGGACCAUUCCCAGGUAAAAGUCUCGUAAUUUUCGUAUUGUUUUUUUUUUUAACUUUUUACCAUUAUAUUUUCCAACUAGUCUUCAAAUUGCUCCUCAUAACAGCUUAAGACUCAUAUUUUGGUAAUAUUUUGUAUAUUUGGACAAUUUUGAGUCGAUUUGACCAACGAUGACGAGGACAUGAACAACGAUGUAUAACGAUGAAGAGAAUCUUAUG